ACUCAAAUGAAUUGACGGGGGCCCGCACAAGCAGCGGAGCGUGUGGUUUAAUUCGUUGCUACGCGAAGAACCUUACCCGGGUUUGACAUGCAAGUAGUAGGGAUCCGAGAGGUGACCGAUCCUUCGGGAAGCUUGCACAGGUGCUGCAUGGCUGUCGUCAGCUCGUGCCGUGAGGUGUCCGGUUAAGUCCGGUAACGAGCGCAACCCUCGCUGUAUGUUACAUGUGUCAUACGGUACUGCCGGUAUCAAGCCGGAGGAAGGUGGGGAUGACGUCAAGUCAGCAUGGCCUUUAUAUCCGGGGCUACACACACGCUACAAUGGUCGGUACAAUGGGUCGCAAAGCCGCGAGGUGGAGCCAAUCCCCAAAACCGGCCUCAGUUCAGAUUGUAGGCUGCAACUCGCCUGCAUGAAGUCGGAGUUGCUAGUAAACGCGCGUCAGCAUUAGUGCGUUGAAUACGUUCCCGGGCCUUGUACACACCGCCCGU
rnacentral:rRNA from 1 species